rnacentral:lncRNA from 1 species
UAUUGUUUUAUAACACAAAUAACUAAGAUGAUGAAUACUUGUUAUGUAAAUACAGCUUCAAACCAGGACCUCCAGCCCUGUGAUCGUACUGCAUCCUUAAGUAUUAAUCCUUAAGUAUUAAUAUUUUAUAUAGGAAUUCUGGAGCAGCAGCUUAAAGGAGAGGGAAGUCAAUCAGCUAAGAAGCCUUUAUUACUAUAGUUACUUUUCAUUAUGUUAAUACUUAGGAUUUUUUUUUUCUUGUUAGGGCUUCUUUAAUGCACAUUUUCCCCCUUACC